rnacentral:rRNA from 1 species
GACGAACGCUGGCGGCGUGCUUAACACAUGCAAGUCGAACGGAAAGGCCCUGCUUUUGUGGGGUGCUCGUGUGGCGAACGGGUGAGAAACACGUGUGUAACCUCCCCUUGUCUUUGGGAUAACUUCAGGAAACUGGGGCUAAUACCGGAUAGGAGCUCCUGCUGCAUGGUGGGGGUUGGAAAGUUUCGGCGGUUGGGGAUGGUCUCGCGGCUUAUCAGCUUGUUGGGGGGGUAGGGGCUUACCAAGGCUUUGACGGGUAGCCGGCCUGGGAGGGUGACCGGCCACAAUGGGACUGAGAUACGCCCCAGAAGCCAACGGGAGGCAGCGGGGGGGAAUAUUGCACAAUGGGCGGAAGCCUGAGGCAGAAACGCCGGGUGCGGGAUAACGGCCUUCGGGUUGUAAACCGCUUUCGCCUGUGACAAAGCGUGAGUGACGGUAAUGGGUAAAGAAGCACCGGCUAACUACGUG